rnacentral:rRNA from 14 species
CCGGCCACAUUGGGACUGAGAUACGGCCCAGACUCCUACGGGAGGCAGCAGUGGGGAAUAUUGGACAAUGGGCGAAAGCCUGAUCCAGCAAUGCCGCGUGAGUGAUGAAGGCCUUAGGGUUGUAAAGCUCUUUUACUAGGGAUGAUAAUGACAGUACCUAGAGAAUAAGCUCCGGCUAACUCCGUGCCAGCAGCCGCGGUAAUACGGAGGGGGUUAGCGUUGUUCGGAAUUACUGGGCGUAAAGCGCACGUAGGCGGACUUUUAAGUCAGAUGUGAAAUCCCAAGGCUCAACCUUGGAACUGCAUUUGAAACUGGGAGUCUAGAGAUCAGGAGAGGUUAGUGGAAUACCGAGUGUAGAGGUGAAAUUCGUAGAUAUUUGGAGGAACACCAGUGGCGAAGGCGGCUCACUGGCUCGAUACUGACGCUGAGGUGCGAAAGUGUGGGGAGCAAACAGGAUUAGAUACCCUGGUAGUCCACGCCGUAAACGAUGAUAACUAGCUGUCCGGGCUCAUAGAGCUUGGGUGGCGCAGCUAACGCAUUAAGUUAUCCGCCUGGGGAGUACGGUCGCAAGAUUAAAACUCAAAGGAAUUGACGGGGGCCUGCACAAGCGGUGGAGCAUGUGGUUUAAUUCGAAGCAACGCGCAGAACCUUACCAGCCUUUGACAUCCUAGGACGACUUCUGGAGACAGAUUUCUUCCCUUCGGGGACCUAGUGACAGGUGCUGCAUGGCUGUCGUCAGCUCGUGCCGUGAGGUGUUGGGUUAAGUCCCGCAACGAGCGUAACCCUUGUUUUUAGUUGCCUUUCGAGGAUAUUUAGAAAGACUGCCGAUUAUAAAUCGGAGGAAGGUAAGGACGACGUCAAGUCAUCAUGCCCCUUACACUCUGGGCUACACACGUGCUACAUUGGGUAGAACAAUAAGUUGCUAAGUUGCGAAACCAAGCGAAUCUUCAAAUCUACUCUAAGUUCGGAUUGUAGGCUGCAACUCGCCUACAUAAAGAUGGAAUCGCUAGUAAUCGCUGGUCAGCUACACAGCGGUGAAUCCGUUCCCGGGCCUUGUACACACCGCCCGUCAAGCCAUGGAAGCUGGGAGUGCCUGAAGUCCGUCACCGUAAGGAGCGGCCUAGGGUAAAAUCGGUAACUAGGGCUAAGUCGUAACAAGGUAGCCGUACCGGAAGGUGCGGCUGGAUCACCUCCUU